CGCGUGCAGGAAGACGGCCCUAUGGGUUGUAAACUGCUUUUACAGAGGAAUAACCCUCCUUACGUGUAAGGAGCUGACGGUACUCUAUGAAUAACGAUCGGCUAACUCCGUGCCAGCAGCCACGGUAAUACGGAGGAUCCAAGCGUUAUCCGGAAUCAUUGGGUUUAAAGGGUCCGUAUGCGGGUCUAUAAGUCAGUGGUGAAAUGUCUGCAGCUUAACUGUAGAACUGCCAUUGAUACUAGAAUGAAACUCAAAGGAAUUGACGGGGGCCCGCACAAGCGGUGGAGCAUGUGGUUUAAUUCGAUGCAACGCGAAGAACCUUACCUACCCUUGACAUCCAGAGAAGUUGGCAGAGAUGCCUUCGUGCCUUCGGGAACUCUGAGACAGGUGCUGCAUGGCUGUCGUCAGCUCGUGUUGUGAAAUGUUGGGUUAAGUCCCGUAACGAGCGCAACCCUUGUCCUUAGUUGCCAGCACAUAAUGGUGGGGACUGUAGGGAGACUGCCGGUGUUAAACCGGAGGAAGGUGGGGAUGACGUCAGGUCCUCAUGGCCUUUAUGACCAGGGCUGCACACGUCCUACAAUGCGGUGUACAGAGGGAAGCAAACUCGCGAGAGCAAGCAAAUCCCAAAAAGCACCGCCCAGUUUGGAUUGCAGGCUGCAACUCGCCUGCAUGAAGCCGGAAUCGCUAGUAAUCGUGGGUCAGCAUACCACGGUGAAUAUGUUCCUGAGCCUUGUACACACCGCCCGUCAAGCCACGAAAGUGGGGGGCAUCCAGAAGU
rnacentral:rRNA from 1 species